CCUACGGGGGGCAGCAGUGAGGAAUAUUGGUCAAUGGGCGCGAGCCUGAACCAGCCAAGUCGCGUGAGGGAAGACGGUCCUAUGGAUUGUAAACCUCUUUUGUCGGGGAGCAAAAGACGCCACGCGUGGCGUUCCGAGAGUACCCGAAGAAAAAGCAUCGGCUAACUCCGUGCCAGCAGCCGCGGUAAUACGGGGGAUGCGAGCGUUAUCCGGAUUUAUUGGGUUUAAAGGGUGCGCAGGCGGAAGAUCAAGUCAGCGGGAAAAUUGAGAGGCUCAACCUCUUCGAGCCGUUGAAACUGGUUUUCUUGAGUGAGUGAGAAGUAUGUGGAAUGCGUGGUGUAGCGGUGAAAUGCAUAGAUAUCACGCAGAACUCCGAUUGCGAAGGCAGCAUACCGGCGCUCAACUGACGCUCAUGCACGAAAGUGUGGGUAUCGAACAGGAUUAGAUACCCCAGUAGUC
rnacentral:rRNA from 1 species